ACACGCGCGCGCACAUCACCGCUAUAAAACCCAGCAGGAGAUGGAAGCGGCACUCGACACAUAAGACUCCUCGAGGCCCUCUCGUUUCUCCUUCUCUACCCUCCUCAACCUCAUCAAUGGCGUACAAACAGGCAGACGCAGAGAAAAUGUUUUUCGCCCUGGACAAGGAUGGCUCGGGUUUUCUGACGAUGAACGAACUCCAGGCCGGAGCGAAGACCCUUGGCGUGGCCGAGGACAAACUCGAGGACUUCAUGCGUUCGGCGGACACAUCCGCUGAUGGCAAAAUCGACAUCAAGGAAUUCGUGGCUUACAUGACUGGAAAGUGAACCCAGGGGACCAGAACAAUGCGGACACGUGGGGAGGAGUGACAUCGCGUGCACCGCACACACACGUGUGCACACACACACGUGUACACACACACACACACGUGUACACACAACAACAACAACAACCGCCAUUCGCCACUAAGUGGCGGUGACGUCAC